GUGGGGAAUAUUGGACAAUGGGCGAAAGCCUGAUCCAGCCAUGCCGCGUGAGUGAUGAAGGCCUUAGGGUUGUAAAGCUCUUUCAGUAGGGAAGAUAAUGACGGUACCUACAGAAGAAGCCCCGGCUAACUUCGUGCCCGCAGCCGCGGUAGUACGAAGGGGGCUAGCGUUGUUCGGAUUUACUGGGCGUAAAGCGCACGUAGGCGGAUUGGUCAGUUAGAGGUGAAAUCCUGGAGCUCAACUCCAGAACUGCCUUUAAUACUGCCAGUCUAGAGUCCAGAAGAGGUGAGUGGAACUCCUAGUGUAGAGGUGGAAUUCGUAGAUAUUAGGAAGAACACCAGUGGCGAAGGCGGCUCACUGGUCUGGUACUGACGCUGAGGUGCGAAAGCGUGGGGAGCAAACAGGAUUAGAUACCCGUGUAGUCC
rnacentral:rRNA from 1 species